GAUCCUGGCUCAGGAUGAACGCUAGCUACAGGCUUAACACAUGCAAGUCGAGGGGAAACGACAUCGAAAGCUUGCUUUUAAUGGGCGUCGACCGGCGCACGGGUGAGUAAUGCGUAUCCAACCUGCCCAUCACUUGGGAAUAACCUUGCGAAAGUAAGACUAAUGCCCAAUGACAUCCCACGAAGGCAUCCGAAUGGGAUUAAAGAUUUAUCGGUGAUGGAUGGGGAUGCGUCUGAUUAG
rnacentral:rRNA from 1 species